rnacentral:rRNA from 1 species
UACGGGGGGGGCAAGCGUUGUUCGGAAUUACUGGGCGUAAAGGGCUCGUAGGCGGCCAACUAAGUCAGACGUGAAAUCCCUCGGCUUAACCGGGGAACUGCAUCUGAUACUGGAUGGCUUGAGUUCGGGAGAGGGAUGCGGAAUUCCAGGUGUAGCGGUGAAAUGCGUAGAUAUCUGGAGGAACACCAAUGGCGAAAGCAGCUUUCUGGGACGGUACUGACGCUGAGACGCGAAAGCGUGGGGAGCGAACAGG